UACAUUCACAACUCAACCUGUGCCUGGUGU
rnacentral:piRNA from 1 species